CCUACGGGUGGCAGCAGUGAGGAAUAUUGGUCAAUGGACGAGAGUCUGAACCAGCCAAGUAGCGUGAAGGAUGACUGCCCUAUGGGUUGUAAACUUCUUUUAUAUGGGAAUAAAAUGUUCCACGUGUGGGAUUUUGUAUGUACCAUAUGAAUAAGGAUCGGCUAACUCCGUGCCAGCAGCCGCGGUAAUACGGAGGAUCCGAGCGUUAUCCGGAUUUAUUGGGUUUAAAGGGAGCGUAGGUGGAUUGUUAAGUCAGUUGUGAAAGUUUGCGACUCAACCGUAAAAUUGCAGUUGAAACUGGCAGUCUUGAGUACAGUAGAGGUGGGCGGAAUUCGUGGUGUAGCGGUGAAAUGCUUAGAUAUCACGAAGAACUCCGAUUGUGAAGGCAGUUCACUGGACUGCAACUGACACUGAGGCUCGAAAGUGUGGGUAUCAAACAGGAUUAGAUACCCCAGUAGUC
rnacentral:rRNA from 1 species